GUCCUGGCAGUAAACGGUGCGCGUUUGGUGUGGGAGGAUUCGACCCCUUCCGUGCCGGAGCUAACGCGUUAAACGCGCCGCCUGGGGAGUACGGUCGCAAGAUUAAAACUCAAAGAAAUUGACGGGGGCCCGCACAAGCGGUGGAGUAUGUGGCUUAAUUCGAUGCAACGCGAAGAACCUUACCUAGCCUUGACAUGCAUCUCUAAGUCGGCGAAAGCCGGCUACUGUAGCAAUACAGGAUUUGCACAGGUGCUGCAUGGCUGUCGU
rnacentral:rRNA from 1 species